rnacentral:lncRNA from 1 species
UAGGGUCUUACCUGCAGUAAGUUCUUAGUUUCACUUCACACCACAUUAUGUUUUACAUUCUCUUGCACAGUAAGAUAAUAGAUUCACCUUUGCAGAAAGCAUGCUCACUAUCUAUCCUCACUUGGUGUUCGAAACCAACGAGCUAUCAACCGAAUGCAACAUGAAUGCUUCCAUGAGUGGUUUAGUUUGCAUGUAAGUAGGAAGCUGAACUUAUGGCAUGCUAUCUAAGUUGAACUUCUCAUUACCUUAAUAA